CACAGCGUAUACCAGAGGGUGUAAUAACACAGCGUAUACCAGAGGUAGUAAUAACACAGCGUAUACCAGAGGGUGUAAUAACACAGCGUAUACCAGAGGGUGUAAUAACACAGCGUAUACCAGAGGAUGUAAUAACACAGCGGAUACCAGAGGGUGUAAUAACACAGCGUAUACCAGAGGGUGUAAUAACACAGCGUAUACCAGAGGGUGUAAUAACACAGCGUAUACCAGAGGGUGUAAUAACACAGCGUAUACCAGAGGGUGUAAUAACACAGCGUAUACCAGAGGGUGUAAUAACACAGCGUAUACCAGAGGGUGUAAUAACACAGCGUAUACCAGAGGGUGUAAUAACACAGCGUAUACCAGAGGGUGUAAUAACACAGCGUAUACCAGAGGGUGUAAUAACACAGCGUAUACCAGAGGGUGUAAUAACACAGCGUAUACCAGAGGUAGUAAUAACACAGGGUAUACUAGAGGUAGUAAUAACACAGCGUAUACCAGAGGGUGUAAUAACACAGCGUAUACCAGAGGGUGUAAUAACACAGCGUAUACCAGAGGGUGUAAUAACACAGCGUAUACCAGAGGGUGUAAUAACACAGCGUAUACCAGAGGGUGUAAUAACACAGCGUAUACCAGAGGGUGUAAUAACA